UUGCCGGUACCAUAUGAAUAAGCACCGGCUAACUCCGUGCCAGCAGCCGCGGUAAUACGGAGGGUGCAAGCGUUGUCCGGAUUUAUUGGGUUUAAAGGGUGCGUAGGCGGGUCUUUAAGUCAGUGGUGAAAGCCUGCAGCUUAACUGUAGAACUGCCAUUGAUACUGGAGGCCUUGAGUAUACUAGAGGUAGGCGGAAUUUAUGGUGUAGCGGUGAAAUGCAUAGAUACCAUAAAGAACACCGAUAGCGUAGGCAGCUUACUGGAGUAUAACUGACGCUGAUGCACGAAAGCAUGGGUAGCGAACAGGAUUAGAUACCCUGGUAGUCCAUGCCGUAAACGAUGAUUACUCGAUGUUGGCGAUACACAGUCAGCGUCCAAGCGAA
rnacentral:rRNA from 1 species